GAUUCCAUCCAGAAAAACAUCUGACAAAAGCUCUAUAAAAGACGGUGACUAGAGAAAUUUUUUAUCUGACCGAAGAAUUGGAGAAAGUUUCGAGAAUUUAUACAAUGAAGGUAAUUAAACACAUGUAUGUGAAAUUUAAAAUAAACAUGGUCCUUCUGUGACGUCUAAAACAGAUGGGCAAGCUUACCAAUGACGACCGUGAACACAAGAAAGAUCAUCCUCAGUGACCUUCUUCUCAGAGAAGUAACCGGAUUGAAUCUUAGCAUCGAUUUCGACUUGAGAAUCUUCAGGAAUAAGAUCAUCGGGAAUAGUGAUACGGUUCAAAAUCUUGAUACCUUGGCCAACAAUGGCAUCAUGCUUCAUGUUAGACAUACUGAGCAUGCGGUCAAUCUUCUUAAUGCCAAACCAGUGGAGAAUAUCAGGCAUAAGAGCUUGGAAACGCAUAUCACGAACACCGGCCAACUCUUCAGUACGCUUGAAGUAGUUCUCGGCAGAGUCACCAGUACGCUUACGCUUGUUGUAAACAAGGUAUUUGACAACUUCACCAAGGGCACGACCCUCCUUUCUGAAGUAAACAACCAAACCAGCACCACCAUUUUGGGCUUCCUUGGCAGCUUCCUCAAUACCAAAAGUCAAAUAAGGUCUGCAUGUGCAAAUAUCACUUUGGAAGACAUCAGAACCGUUGCACUCGUCAUGAACACGGACAGCCAAGCUCUUGGAAGUAUCGCUAAGGUAUUCAGGAGGACCAAAGAUGUAAGCAGUCAAACCACCGAUGGGAGGAAGGAAUACUUUGAUGUCAGGACGGGUGAUAAGUUCGGGAUAAGCACCACCCAUUUGCUCAAACAAAGCACGACGAAGAGUAACUUCAUCGACACCGAAACGUUCAGCAACACCAGGAAGAUACCAUACAGGCUCAACAGCAACCUUAGUAACGGCAAUGUCACCCUUUUCGUUGAGAACAAUCUUACCAUCGAUGGGCAAAGAGCCAUUUUCAACAGAACGUUGAAUCUCAGUGACUUGGAGAUGAGCACGGGUAAUGGCAAUGGUGGGACGAACGUCGUAACCCUCAUCCAAGUACUUCUUGAAGACGCUAGGGGUAAGAUGGCCAUAGGGAUCCAUGGCGACGAUCUUCUUGGGAUCAUGCCAGCUGUCCAAUUCAGGGAAGUCAAAAGUGGGCUCAGUGAGCUCAAAGUUGGGACGAUGAUCAGGGGGCAAGAAACCACCGGCAACAGCUAAAGCAUUGUAAACGGAGUAGCUACCGCCAUGAGCACCGACGGCGUUGCGAUGAGGAAGAGUCUCAAUGGAGCGAGCGACAGUAAUAGGUCCACGUUCCUCAGCAGUGGCAGCGCCCCAGUUCAUGGGGAAAGGAUCAAUUCUAGAUUGAGAGGGAUAGGUGGUCAAGACGACAGGACGAGAGUAAAGAGGCUUCUUAACCUCUUCGGUCUUCUCGUGAGCAUGAGCGCCAUUGCACUCUGCAGGACGGCUUUGUUCAGUGGCAAGCAUAUUGAAUUAGUUCUAAUUUAGUAAUUGAAGAAAACGGAUAAGUAAAACAACAAGAAAAAUGACAAACGAAUGUUCAAUGG
rnacentral:lncRNA from 1 species